GGUGUCGCUCUAGAAUGGGUGCGUAUGAGGCUGGGAGGGGGGAAAAAAUCACAGUAUACUCAGUACAAAAAACUAGACUAGUGUCUACUGUAUGUAUAACAUUUGUUUCCGCCCGGUUUCGAACCGGGGACCUUUCGCGUGUGAGGCGAACGUGAUAACCACUACACUACGGAAACUUUGCUUGUUCUAUUAGUGGUACAAACUGGGGAGCUACAUACAUUCACUUGAACGCGCUGGAUCACUAGUAGUAUUGGACCAUCCCGGUGAAACACGUGCACAGGUAUUUUUUUUCCCAGUGCGGGACUUGAACAUCGACUACGUACCCAGGGACGUUUUUUCUUAUUAUUGUACAUAGAUACAAAUAAAAGAUGAUGCGUGUGAAGCUAUUAUCUGUUUAUUAGCACCAUUGUGACUUUUAAAGCUGGUACUUGGCUAAUUAUGACACAUUCUUGACAGUUUUAAAAACAGAUGAAUGUUUGUUCGAGAUCAUACCAAUUAUAUUGCUGUUUGUCUGAUGGAAGCAUAACGACUCCGGCAAAUUUACCGGGCAAAACUAAUGGUAGUAUUGUGGCACAUCAGGGUACAUUUUUAACUGGCACCACCUCAAUUUCCAUACUUGCACGUGCUUAUGUUUAAAGUAAGCUCAACACUGGUUGCAGCUUUUUGUAUACCUAAUUGUGUUUUGUUUUAAAUGGCACCACCUCACUUUCCAUACUUGCACGUUUGGGUUAUCUAUAUGGUGAAAAGUAAGGUCAGCAUUGAUUGCAGGUUUUUGUAUACUCUCCAUCUAAUCGCAGUUCAUAAAGUUAUAGACUGUGUGUAAAGCUGGAUAAUGUGAUUUAGCUAUGUGUUGACAAAGAGCUAUAAAACACGUGUUUCCGCCCGGUUUCGAACCGGGGACCUUUCGCGUGUGAGGCGAACGUGAUAACCACUACACUACGGAAACUUCGCUUGCUCUGUCGGAUCCUGUUGGUGGUGCAAACUGGGGUUAUAGCGUAGCCAGCUUUUUUAACCUAUUUGUUUAUUACAGUUUUUUUCUGAAUGCUUAAGCGCUAAUCGUGAUUCUUGUAGCACAAUUUCUAAAACUAUUAAUAAGUAUAGCAAAACCACUCACUGAGUUUGCAAAACUAAAAACACAAACACUGCUUUGCACUCAGUUUGCAAUGUUGUAACACACACUUUGCAAAACUGUAGGCACAAUUCACUGCACAACACUCUUUUUGCAGAACUUUAAACACAACUCACUGCUUACACUAAUUACCAAAUUUCCAACACACUCCUAGCAAAAUUACACACACGUAUGGCUAUCAUUAACACUAUUUUGCCAACUGUCUGGCACACUUUCACAUGUGAAAACUGUUUUAGAUCAUUAGUUCACUUUGCAAUCAGCCUAAGCACUAUAAAUAAGCCACAGGUAAGCUGUCUGUGUGGAGUACGAUGGAAGGAGCAGUAAGAGUGAGAAGAGUGAGAAUCAGAGGAGGCCGAGGGAGAGGACGUGGAGGUGAAGAAAGAGGAGGAAGAGGACGUGGAGGUGAAGGAAGAGGAGGAAGAGGACGCGGAGGUGAAGAAGUAGGAGGAAGGGGAGGAGGAAGAGGACGUGGAGGUGUAGAAGUAGGAGGAAGAGGACAUGGAGUUGAAGAUUCGAGAGUGUUAGAGGAAGACGACAAGGAGGAGCAAGAAGAGGACGAGGAGGGGAAAGAGGAAGGGUAAGAAGAGUAAGAAAUGGAAUAACUGAUGACAUCAGAGCUACAAUAGUGGACCAUGUCAUCAACCAUGGGAUGACCCAGAGGGAAGCUGGCCAACGGGUUCAGCCUAAUUUGAGCCGCUACACUGUGGCAAGCAUCAUUAGGACAUUUUGAAAUAAGAAUCGAAUUGCUAGACAUCCAGAUGCUGGGGGCAGAGGAAGAAUGUUCACUCCAGAGCAAGAGACCCAUAUAGUGAACAUGGUGAUUGCCAAUAAUGCAAUAAGACUGCGCGAAAUACAGCAGAGCAUAAUUGAUAAUGAUACCAUCUUUCAAAAUAUACACAGUGUAAGCAUUUCUGCACUAAGUCGUGUACUUGCACGCCACAGAAUAAGAAUGAAGCAAAUUUACAGAGUUCCUUUCGAGAGAAACACAGAACGUGUAAAGCAACUGCGAUAUGACUAUGUGCAGGGAAGUUAUAGUGUCAUUGGUUCUGAAUUUGGAAGUGCAUACUGUAGUGCUGUGCAUGGGCCUGAUGUGUUGCAUUUGUUCUGUCUUGUCCAGAGAGUGAUGGAACUAGAAGCAGAUGCCAUGGGACAUACUUUUUGUAGAUGAGGCCGGUUUUAACAUCAGUAAAACCAGGAGACGUGGCAGGAACAUUAGUGGACACCGUGCCAUCAUCAAUGUCCCAGGACAACGUGGUGGUAACAUAACCAUGUGUGCAGCUAUAAGCCAAAAUGGUGUUGUUCACCAUCGUGCAACCAUAGGCCCAUACAACACUGCACACAUUAUUGCAUUCCUGGACACCUUACAUGACAUGCUCACUGUUCAGGGACCAGAGCAUACCCGAUAUGUCAUCAUAUGGGACAAUGUUAGUUUCCACAGGGCUGCUUUGGUCCGCAACUGGUUUACAGACCACCCAUUCUUCAUGGCACUUAACCUCCCUCCAUACUCUCCAUUCUUAAAUCCCAUCGAGGAGUUCUUCUCUGCCUGGCGCUGGAAAGUGUAAGACCGUCAUCCUCAUCAACAGGUAGCCCUUUUACAGGCAAUGGAGGAGGCAUGUGGAGAUAUUGAUCAGGCAUCAUGUCAGGCCUGGAUACGGCAUUCAAGGACAUAUUUUCCCGGUGCCUUGGACUGGAGGAUAUCGCAUGCGAUGUGGACGAAAUUUUGGGGCCGGACCCAGAAAGACGACAUGAUGUAGGCUGAUUGUUGUUGUUUUUUUUUUUGUGAAAUUACUAUUUUGUGUUCUGACUUUGUCUUGGUUUUGAUGAGUGUGAAUAAACACCAAUACUUGAA